rnacentral:misc_RNA from 1 species
GCAUUGGAAGCGUCGAUCACACACCAAUUUGUCCGUUGUUUUCCGAGUGGGUUUCCACUCAUGAGGCGAUGGCCAGUUGGUGGUGAUUAAUCUUCCAAUGGGACGACGCAUGAGUGGUGGCUAGGAUGUGGCUUCAUGCAGGCUCCGCGUGUCAUACGUCGAACCGUGUGGAGCUGUCCGUUUCAGAAAUCCUUUGCUUCGGCUUUUCUUUGCUCGUUGCGAGAUGGUUGGGCGGUUUCUGCGUUAGCUACUGAUUUUGGUAGGUGGAUUUGAUGGAAUCGGUUGUGUCUUGUUCUCCCUGCCGCUGGCUUGACCAGUGAAGGUGGGCGUUGCAUCGGUCCCCUGCGUCGCACGCAAGCCAUCUCUCCAUGGGAGUGGAUUUUUGAUGGCUCGUGGGUGGGCGUCUAUGCUCUCGGGUAUGUGAGACAUUCGGUCGUCGUCCGGGUCCUUGACCUGUGCGUAUUGUUUCUUGAGCUUGUAGCCUUAUUUUGUGUGACCCUCGUGCUUCCUCCUGAGCUCAUCGAGCCUCCGUGCUUGUUGUUCGUCACGGAGGUGCCGGGGCCUAUGAGGAUUGC